rnacentral:rRNA from 1 species
CCCUUAGAUGUUCGGGGCCGCACGCGCGCUACACUGAAGGAAUCAGCGUGCCAUCGUCCUGGCCCGGAAGGGCCGGGCAACCCGUUGAACCUCCUUCGUGCUAGGGAUCGGGGCUUGCAAUUCUUGCCCGUGAACGAGGAAUUCCCAGUAAGCGCGAGUCAUCAGCUCGUGUUGAUUACGUCCCUGCCCUUUGUACACACCGCCCGUCGCUACUACCGAUUGAAUGGUUUAGUGAGACCCUCGGAUCCGUCCCGGCGCGGCCGUUCGCGGCCGCGCCGGCGCGCGGAGAAGACGGUCGAACUUGAUCAUUUAGAGGAAGUAAAAGUCGUAACA